CCCAGACUCCUACGGGAGGCAGCAGUGGGGAAUAUUGCACAAUGGGGGAAACCCUGAUGCAGCGACGCCGCGUGAGUGAAGAAGUAUCUCGGUACGUAAAGCUCUAUCAGCAGGGAAGAAAAUGACGGUACCUGACUAAGAAGCCCCGGCUAACUACGUGCCAGCAGCCGCGGUAAUACGUAGGGGGCAAGCGUUAUCCGGAUUUACUGGGUGUAAAGGGAGCGUAGACGGCAGCACAAGUCUGGAGUGAAAUCCCGGGGCUUAACCCCGGAACUGCUUUGGAAACUGUAUAGCUUGAGUACUGGAGAGGCAGGCGGAAUUCCUAGUGUAGCGGUGAAAUGCGUAGAUAUUAGGAGGAACACCAGUGGCGAAGGCGGCCUGCUGGACAGAAACUGACGUUGAGGCUCGAAAGCGUGGGGAGCAAACAGGAUUAGAUACCCCUGUAAUC
rnacentral:rRNA from 1 species